rnacentral:tRNA from 2 species
GGUGGGAUGCUGGAGUGGUCUAACAGGCUGGUUUCGAAAACCAUGCGCUUCGCAAGAGGCACGGGGGUCCAAAUCCCUCUCCCACCGCCA